CAGUCGCCGCGGGAAUACGUAGGGUGCGAGCGUUAAUCGGAAUUACUGGGCGUAAAGCGUGCGCAGGCGGCUUUGCAAGACAGAUGUGAAAUCCCCGGGCUCAACCUGGGAACUGCAUUUGUGACUGCAUGGCUAGAGUACGGUAGAGGGGGAUGGAAUUCCGCGUGUAGCAGUGAAAUGCGUAGAUAUGCGGAGGAACACCGAUGGCGAAGGCAAUCCCCUGGACCUGUACUGACACUCAUGCACGAAAGCGUGGGGAGCAAACAGGAUUAGAUACCCCUGUAGUCCCUGUCUCUUAUAC
rnacentral:rRNA from 1 species